GUGCCAGCCGCCGCGGUAAUACGAAGGGUGCAAGCGUUACUCGGAAUUACUGGGCGUAAAGCGUGCGUAGGUGGUUUGUUAAGUCUGAUGUGAAAGCCCUGGGCUCAACCUGGGAAUGGCAUUGGAUACUGGCGAGCUAGAGUGCGGUAGAGGGUAGUGGAAUUCCCGGUGUAGCAGUGAAAUGCGUAGAGAUCGGGAGGAACAUCUGUGGCGAAGGCGACUACCUGGACCAGCACUGACACUGAGGCACGAAAGCGUGGGGAGCAAACAGGAUUAGAAACCCCCGUAGUCC
rnacentral:rRNA from 1 species